UCAAAAUUCAAUUUUACUUGUUUUUAUGUUUAUGCAAAAUCAUUUUUUUAGUAUUUCCUGAAAGUAGAUUGUUUUCAAAAUAUUUGCCCAAAACGUUUUUGAAAAUAAUUCGCCAAACAAGUUUCUAUGUUUUUCAGAAACUCAAAAAUAAAAAUAAAAACAACCAAAUGUGCAUGUACUCUAUAUUCUUAAUUUGUCUCUUUACAUGGGAAUUAGACAUGCAAUUCGUUAAUACAAUUUAAAUCGUACACAUAUUUAGAGGGUUACGGUUCAUCUAUUUUCACACACACAAAUAUGACACGACUCGACAAUACAAAAAUAUUAAAUGAGUCAUGUUCGCAUUAAACACACGUAACUCAAACACAACCCAUCUUACCCAUGUAAAAAAUUUGUCUUGACACGUGGACACAAACUAUUGACCUGCAAGUAACCCAAAUGCAAUCCGAAUCUGGUAGUCAUAUGAUCUUAAGUGUUUUAUUCUUAACAAUUGGAUUAUAUUUUGGUGUUAGAGGAAAACAUGUCUUGUUAGAUAUUUGGACAUUAAUAAUUAACAAUAGUUUAGAUUAGAUAUGUAGUGAAUUCGUCAUGAAUCUUUUGAAUUAUUUUCAUAAACAAGUUACCACUAUGCAUGCAAUGCGAAACAAAUUUGCUUGCAAUGAACUGUACAAUUUGCUUAUAAUCUUAAACAUAUUCUUAUGCUAACUGUGUCAGGUGUGUCGUAUUUAGAUUAACACGAUUAUGAGUAAGUCAAUGUCAAGAUAAUUGACAUGUUUAGUUAAACAAGUCGUGUUAGUGUUGGGGUCGCUUUUGAUACGAACCCGCACAUGACACAAAAACAAUAUGACACGGCAUGAUUCCCACACUAUUUUAUUCUUUGAGGAUUUUUAUUUAUUUAUUUAAUUUUUAUUUUUUUUGGAGUGGCGGAACUUUCAGGAAGUAUUGUUAGUAGAGCUUUCAAUAUACUUUCCUUACUUUGAUCCCUAAAAAAUACAACUUGAGUAGUAUUGUUGACUUAAAACCAUCUUUGUAACUAACGUUGUCACAAGAUUAACAGUUGCAUCUAGAUUGAGUAGUUCUAAAAUUAUCUCUAAAGAGCAAGUGUAUGCAUCAAGUGUUGAGACAUUGCUGACAACAUUCCAUGGUACAAGAAAUCACAUGUGAUCUCCAGUUUAAAAAAAAAAAAAAAGGGAGGAUUUUUCAUUCUUAAGAUGGACAUGCAUGACAAAAUCCUAUUGGUGUUUAAAAUGGGAUUUUUCAUAGUUGCUGUUAGAGAGAUUGGGAUUCUUCUUCAAUUAUAGUGUGCUUAACAACUCAAACAAUCAUUUUUUUUCAAGUUAGUUGAAUUGUUUGGUACAGUUUAUUGCAACCUAAAAGCUGAUAAUUAGAAACUAGAAACUAAUAGUACUCAUUCUCCAGCUUGUAGAUAAUCAAUUUGUUUUCAAUUUAUUUAAGCUAUUUCUAUCAAAUAAGUAAUAAGCAUAAUAAGUUGUAAGCAGAAAUUGUACCAAAUAAUCCAACACAAACUUCCUGAAUAAAAAAAAGUUAUAAGUAACUCAAAUAAGUCGCACCAAACAACCUAUCGUAAAUCGGGCAAUGUAUAUUUUUUUGAGAAUUCAAAGGGUCCCCUAGCCUUGUCAUCGUUGUCGAAUGGGCCAAUGAUCCUUGCCUAAACAAAAGUUUUCUUUUGGUAAAAAUUGUAGCGGAGUGUUAUAUAUGCAUUCCUCUUUUAUCCUCCCUCACUCCACUUCUAUUUUUAUUAUCCACAUUUCCAAUUGUCCUUCAAUCAUUUGUUUUAAUGCUAAAUCAACAAUUAUACCAUUCGUCUGUCCAUUGGCAAAAGAAAAAUGAUAAAAGAUGAGUGCACGAUAACUGGAAGGCAAAUUUAGUUUAUACAUAUACACAUUCAAAAAGUGGAGUGCGGAAGGAUAAAAGGGAAUACCCUCCUAAUUCUAAGAUGCAAAGCUGAAGACCCAAGUAAGGUUUGUUCCCUCCUCCUCCAGCUAAUUAUUCCAAAAAGCAAAGUUCAUCCCUUGCCCCAAGUAAGGGUUCUUUCUCCUCAUAUCCAGCCAAUUAUUCCAAAAUCCAAAGUUCACCCUGUACCCCAAAUUGGAUUAGCAUGGGGUGUUAAGAAGGAGCUGAAGAAGAUGGAGAACACGAUGUUGACCAUACAAAAUGUCCUUGUAGAUGCGCAAAAGCAGCAAGUGAGCAACCUUGCUGUAAAAGAAUGGCUACAAAGGCUCAAAGUUGUAGUUUAUGAUGCUGACGACUUAUUGGAUGAAGUUGCAACCGAGGCCUUGAAAAGACAAAGGGAAACUCACAGGGGCAUGAUGAGAGAGGAAGGAGGUUCAUCAUCGCAAGCUGGAGCUUCUACUUCUGGACGGCCUAGCUCUAGCACAAGGGUUUGAGGCAUUGCAGCUUCAUUUUGUAUACCGAGAAGCAAAUUCCGCGGCCGAUGCACUAGCUAAAUAUGCAGUUCAAUACACAUCCUUAGAUAUAAAAAUAAAUUCGGCACCUAUGUUUUUGCCCCAUUUUGUUAUUGGAUGUGUCCAAAGCUUCUCGAUUAAGAUUUAUAUCUAAACUUCAACUAUGUACUAAGUUGUUAUUUUAUAUAAUAUCUUUUGUUUCUUGUUAAAGAAACAAACCGGA